AUUCAACGCUGGCGGCAUGCUUUACACAUGCAAGUCGAACGGCAGCGCGGGCUUCGGCCUGGCGGCGAGUGGCGAACGGGUGAGUAAUACAUCGGAACGUGCCCAGUAGUGGGGGAUAGCUCGGCGAAAGCCGGAUUAAUACCGCAUACGACCUGAGGGUGAAAGCGGGGGAUCUUCGGACCUCGCGCUAUUGGAGCGGCCGAUGGCAGAUUAGCUAGUUGGUGGGGUAAAGGCCUACCAAGGCGACGAUCUGUAGCUGGUCUGAGAGGACGACCAGCCACACUGAGACUGAGACACGGCCCAGACUCCUACGGGAGGCAGCAGUGGGGAAUUUUGGACGAUGGGAGAAAGCCUGAUCAAGCAAUGCCGCGUGUGUGAUGAAGGCCUUCGGGUUGUAAAGCACUUUUGGCGGGAACGAAAAUGACUGUGCCAAUACCACGGUUCGAUGACGGUACCCGCAGAAUAAGCACCGGCUAACUACGUG
rnacentral:rRNA from 1 species